rnacentral:rRNA from 12 species
CAAAAAAAAAAGACAAAAUUGAAAUGUUGAUAAAAACUAAAUUUAAAAUAGGAUAAACAC